rnacentral:rRNA from 1 species
UGGCCAGACUCCUACGGGAGGCAGCAGUGAGGAAUAUUGGUCAAUGGGAGAGAUCCUGAACCAGCCAAGCCGCGUGAGGGAAGACGGCCCUAUGGGUUGUAAACCUCUUUUGUCGGAGAACAAAACCCGGGACGUGUCCCGGACUGCGUGUAUCCGAAGAAAAAGCAUCGGCUAACUCCGUGCCAGCAGCCGCGGUAAUACGGAGGAUGCGAGCGUUAUCCGGAUUUAUUGGGUUUAAAGGGUGCGUAGGCGGACGCUUAAGUCAGCGGUAAAAUUGCGGGGCUCAACCUCGUCGAGCCGUUGAAACUGGGUGCCUUGAGUGGGCGAGAAGUACGCGGAAUGUGUGGUGUAGCGGUGAAAUGCAUAGAUAUCACGCAGAACUCCGAUUGCGAAGGCAGCGUACCGGCGCCCAACUGACGCUGAAGCACGAAGGCGUGGGUAUCGAACAGGAUUAGAUACCCGAGUAGC